rnacentral:rRNA from 1 species
UGUUACCUACGGGGGGCAGCAGUGGGGAAUAUUGCACAAUGGGGGAAACCCUGAUACAGCGACGCCGCGUGAGCGAAGAAGUAUUUCGGUAUGUAAAGCUCUAUCAGCAGGGAAGAAAAAUGACGGUACCUGAGUAAGAAGCACCGGCUAAAUACGUGCCAGCAGCCGCGGUAAUACGUAGGGGGCAAGCGUUAUCCGGAUUCACUGGGCGUAAAGGGAGCGCAGGCGGCAUGGCAAGUCUGAUGUGAAAACCCGGGGCCCAACCCCGGGAGUG